UACGUAGGGUGCAAGCGUUGUCCGGAAUUAUUGGGCGUAAAGAGCUCGUAGGCGGUCUGUCGCGUCUGCUGUGAAAACUCGGGGCUUAACCCCGGGCCUGCAGUGGGUACGGGCAGACUAGAGUGCGGUAGGGGAGACUGGAAUUCCUGGUGUAGCGGUGAAAUGCGCAGAUAUCAGGAGGAACACCGAUGGCGAAGGCAGGUCUCUGGGCCGCUACUGACGCUGAGAAGCGAAAGCAUGGGGAGCGAACAGG
rnacentral:rRNA from 1 species